CCUCACCCACGCCGCACCCGCGUCCCCAUCCCCAGAUCUGUUUGGGCAAAGUUGCUUAUGGUUCUGUCUCCCAGAGAAAGGAGCGUCCCAAAGCCGGGAGGGGCACCUGAGGUGACCCGAGACACCCUGAGCAGAGCGGGUGUGUCCCUCCAGCCACUGGAGACGUCCCCUUUGUUUCCCUGCACCUGGGGGCUUGAAAUGUCGAGGCCACAGUGCUUCGUGUGACCCUGGAGUCGUGCAGACCCCUUCCACCCCCGCCGUGUCCCCCCAACUAGGGCACAGGGAAGCAUCCAGAAAGAAGGGGACCCACAUGUCCUGGAACCCAGACACCUUCCUCCCAGCCCUUAUGGUCACAAGCAGUUAAAUUAGCGCACAUUUAUUGCGGGAAUUUGAAUCUGUCCCUGGCUACGGUCUUUGCCUGUGGGGCCUGGCCUGGGUCUUUCCCAGGACACUGCCAGUCCUCACGUGUCUCAUGUCGCAGGGAACCUGGACAGCAAUGGCUGUGAUCAUUUCACUUCUCCAGCCUGGAAAUCUCCUUUGCACCUAGGCACUCAGCUCCCAGGAGCAGAGGAGGGGGCGGAGGGAUGGAUGAAGGAGUGGUGUAGGGCACACAGAGGUGCAGUUUUCCGUCUGGGGAGCAGGGAAGGGUGUCCCAGAGGAGGUGACAUUCAGACGGGGUCCCUGAGGCUGAGUUGUUUCAGGAGGGAUUGCAUUUGCCUCCUCAGCAAUUGCUCUUGUUCUUGGUAGUACCCUAGUUUUUACUUUAUACUCACUUCUCCCUCUUAGCCACAUACGGGGGUGGGGGGGAGCUGAUUCCAGAGAGAGGGAGAGAGAGAGUGAGCGAGAAGGAGGGCAUGUGGAUGUGGUUUAGGGCUUAGGCUGAAAUGAAUCAGUGUGUUGCCAUCCCUAGGCCAGAGUUUCAGAAGUGCAGUAUGACAAAGAAAAUAAUUUUCUUGGUCCUCUAAAAGAGUCCCUGAAGCAAAGGAAUUCACUCUGUCUCUUCCUUCCUACCUUCUCCUUGGCUCCCCCAGGCUGGAGCAAGGGAUCUCACAGGCUUGAAUGUUGACUCAGGAUGGAGUGGACAAGGGGAUCGGGCCUGGAUUCAGGCAGACACUGGAUGAGGUGUGCAGGGGCCGAGGCCACAAGGACCUUGUGGAGCCCCAACUUCAGCCAUGCUGUAAGCCGAUCCUGUGAGCACUUUCCAGUUCCAGAUCAGUCCAAGCCACCUUGAGUCAGGAAGCUUGAGCCCUGGAGCAUGAUGAUGGGUAACAGCCAUCUGGUGGGCUGCCACCCACUUCUCUGCCUUGCUGGAGGUCACGCUGUCCCCAGUGCUGCCCAAACCCCACAGGCAUCGGAAAUGACCCAGAGCUUCGUGAAGGCUGCAGAUCCCCCAGCUCAUACUUGGGCACCUCCUGUGCCCCAUGCUCUGCAAGAAGCCUUUGAGGGAGGAGCUAGGGACAGAGCCCAGCAGGUGAUGUUUAUUUGGAGCUUUCCACUUUGGGCUCUUAUGAAUAACCCUGCUAUGAACAUUUGCGUAAGAGUUUUUGUGUGAACAUCUGCUUCCAAUUCUCGUGGCAGGCGAGGUUUCUCUGCCUGUCUAGAGAGAUGGCAGGAACCAGCCACAAGCUUAUACUUUACGGAUUCUAAAAGGAGAGAAGUGGCUUCCCUCUUAGAUCCAGCAGAGAAGUCCAGAGCUUUGGUUCGUGUCUCCCCUGCACAAAUCACAGUGUCUGGAGGACUUGGUGUCUCUCUUUCCUACUCCCUGGAUCUUUCUCUUGGCCCUCUCUUCUGUGUUCUGGGAUCCUCCAAAUGCAGCCACUUUCCACAUCAACAUGGGGGCCCCACCUGAGGCCCUGCCUGGCUUCCAGGCUCUUUUUGGAACCACAGCCCCCCCCCCCCCCGCCCAGGUCUGACUCCCUCCCCGUACCAUCCCUUAGUCUGUGCUCAGGAAACACAAAUUCUUUUCUAUUUUUUUAAACAUAAACUUAAGCAAACUUAUAGUUACUGGGAAGCCACAUCUUAUGCCAAAAAAAUGAUACAAUAAAUUCCAAAGCAAAUAAAUAAAGGUAGAGAAGAAAGCCACCAGAUUGCAUUUGUUAUCUGCAGUAUGAAUGACACGCAUGUUGUUCCAAGCCAAGAAUGCAUGAGAUGGAAGGUGAGUGUGCUGGUCACGCACAGAUGGGCUUAGAGGACUUCCCUUGUUUUCUGUCUGUCACACUAACAAAAUGAAUGUGUUUAACCCUAGAGAAUCACGUUUAUCCCAGUAGCUAGCAUGCAUUACCCCGGCUACUCUCUACUUCAAAGUCCAGUCUGGUGAAGCCGGGAAGGUAACCCUGUUCUUCUGGACCCUCUGCUGAGCCCAGUCUUAUUCCCAUUGCUGAGGAUGAGAGACUGAUAUUUCUCAUGCAACCAAGCCCUGCACACAACCUCCACUGAACCCAGGAUGUUACUCUGUGAUCUCCAUUUCUCAAGCCACAAGUAUGUCCAGCAUUCGCAGUAAAGAUAUCAAGGAAGGCAGCCUCCCCACACACAGGCACGCAGGAAGGAGAGGAAAACAGCCCUUGGAAGGAAAAGUGUGUCAAAGGGUUAAAUGCCAAGGAGGCAAGUCCUAGGAUUUUGCAGGAGUGAAGGAGUGAUAAAGAGGCCCCUGAACAGAGCAGGAACUGUAAGAGGGAGGCAGCAGAGAGAGCAAAAACAAUCUGCAGGUCCUGCCUCUCCAUCCAGCUGCGAGCUGCUCCUAGCCUUCUGCAUGACGUCUUCAGCAGGAAGGGUGUGCAGGGAUUUCUGAACAUCCCGAGUUGCAUAACUGAUCCUAGAAGUAGAAGAGAAAUGAGAGCACAGCCUAAGACAAACCAUAAAAAACGCACAUGACAGCAUGACCUGUAAUGAAACCACUAUCUAAUCGUUGUCUCCAGCCAGAUUUGCAGGUCAACCUCCCUAAACCAGUGGCCAGAAAAAGGACCGCACCUCCCUCUACCUUCCCUUCUGCCACAGGGUGGAGAUGCUGGCCUUGUCCCUUUCAUCAAAUGCCUGCCAGCCUGGGGCAGCCACCAGCGAGCGCCUGCUUGGGGACAGCUCUGCGGUCCGCAAUGUUUCUGCAGAGGGCACUUCCGGCUCUCCCCAGGAGGUCAGCCCAGCCUGCCCCAGCUGCUGCUGCUUAGCCUCAAGCACGGACUGGAAAUAAACAGCUCCCAGGCAAUCUGCAGCUGGGGCAGAGGCUGAGGGUGGUGUUGCAGGGAGGUAUGGGGAAUGGGAAUGUUUUAGUUGAUGUUUGGAUAAGGUGCUUCUGUGACCAUUUUUUUCUCUGCUGAGUGUUAGUGAGAAAAAGAUGGGCACAAGUGUUGGACCUGAGGUUUCCUGAGAACUUCCGCCCAGGGAGACCAAAACUCAGGCACGAUGAGCAGGAUAAUUGCAAGAGACACAGAGAUAACUUGGUCCUUGGUCGUUGUGAAUGGCUGAGGUGCCUGAGGUUGCUCAUGAGGCUGUAGGUAGGAAGUAGAGUGGUUUAAAGUGGGCAUUGGGGUUCUGGCUUAGAACCCCAGCCUCACCCCUCCCCAGCUGGAUGAUUUGCUAUUUAUAAUCAUUUCACCACCACCUAUAAAAUGAAAACAAAACAGCAGGCCCUUAUGGAACACUGUCAGUCUAAGCCAGUGCCAAACACAGUACUAACUAAGGUCUUAGCAUAUGUUAGAACAGUCACUGAGUUGUUGAAGAAAUUGGUGCUAUUAUUAUUGCCAUUUUACAGACAAAACUGAGGCACAUAAGAGAGCAUUGCUGCUGGAGGACUCACUGCUGGUACAUGGUGGGGCCUGGGAUGACCUCAGGCAGUCUGCCCGUAGUGCCCUUGACCACCCUGUCCCUGCGGUUGCUGUGAACAACAGAUGAAAUGCAGCUUAUAAAGGACUUGGCGCCGUGCCUGCCCCAUGGCCAGCUCUCAAUAAAUGUUAGCUUUUAUUAUUAAGAACACACGAAGCAGCACAAAACAGACCAGGCAAGCUACUCACAUAGUUUGAGAUCCUUAACAAUGCCUGGUGUUUGUUUGGCUCUGUGUAGAAUUCAAAGCGCUCUACCAGUGAGGCCUCCUAUAACCUCGCUGCUGCCCCUGAGGGCAGAGGGGCAGUGUGGAAUGCACACAAGAAGGGCAGUUUCUGCAUAAGGUCCUACGCUGGCUCUCUGGUCAUCUAUUCCCAGGGAGUGUGCAGGGACACCUGGGAGCCUGAAUGGCAUGGUGUGUGAGCUGAGAAGAUGCUGAAGAGCCACCAGUAUAUGACCUUUUACCAUGUUAACUCAGAUUCUAUUUACAUAAACAUUUUAUACUCGUCUCUAUAAACUGUGAUACAACAGUUUCUUGAUUCUUUAUUCUUUUUACCUUUUUGUAAUGGAAGUCUAAAGGGAUUACAACAAACGCAGAUUACAAACUCAUAAAAUCACCUUAAAAAGUAAAAAUAGUGGACCAAGUGUUAAACAAUAGAACCUACUGUUUGAACAGCAGUUUCCAGUUUAUGAAUAAGUAUGAUCUCAUUUCAACCUCAUGACAAUUCAUUACUGGACAUAACUGUGCCGUAAAACUCGAGUUUAGGGGAGCUACUCUAAUAGGGAAUAGUAUGGCUACAACCCAGUCUGCCCUUAAUGAAUUUUGCCUGAGUUUUCUUUUUGGCUACCAAAAGAGUUUGUGUUAGUGUCUCCUAUUGUGACUCAGUAAAAGACUGAAUAUAGAAUGAGUGGUUUCGCUCUUUCUUUUUUCUAUUUCUCUCCUUCCCUCCCCUUCCUUCUCCUUCCCUUCUCCUUCCCUUCCCCAUAUUUGGACUUUUCUGGACUCUGUCCUAUACACCUGUGAUGGUUAAUUUUAGGUGUCAGCUUGUCUGAAGAAAGGGACACCCAGACAGUUGGUAAAGUUUUAUUUCUGGGAGGAAUGGUUGGUUUCAAAUUUCAAGUCUCAUACUUAACAUUUCUGUGACUUUGGCCAAGUUACUGACACCUUGGUGUUUCAGAAUUCUCACCUACCAAGAGAGUAGCUACCUCUUGCGAGUAUUGGGAAGGGUAAAUGAGCAAACACACAUAAAGUGUUCGGAAAGGUACUGGGCACACACUAACUCAGUGCUGUUUGCUUAUAUGAAAUAAAAACAGAAAUUAUCUUCCACAAAGAUUGUAGAAUUAUAGCUGUGCUUAUAGUUCUGUGUAUUUUUGCUUUGUAGAUUUUUGAGGCUAAAUUGUUAGGGGCAUACAAGUUUAGGAUCCACAUACCUUCUUAGUGUCUUGAAUCUUUUAUUUACUUCUUUAGCAAUGCCUUUUGCCUUAAAAUCUACAUUGUGUGAUAUUAACACAGUUUCACUGAUUUGGUUAGUGUUUUUUUUUUCCAGUAUUGUGGAUCAAACUUAGGAC
ensembl:lncRNA